UACGUAGGGUGCAAGCGUUAAUCGGAAUUACUGGGCGUAAAGCGUGCGCAGGCGGUUAUGUAAGACAGGUGUGAAAUCCCAGGGCUUAACCUUGGAACUGCAUUUGUGACUGCAUAGCUAGAGUACGGUAGAGGGGGAUGGAAUUCCGCGUGUAGCAGUGAAAUGCGUAGAGAUCGGUAGGAACACCAGUGGCGAAGGCGGUCUCCUGGGGCUCACUUGACGCUGAUGCGCGAAAGCUGGGGGAGCAAACGGG
rnacentral:rRNA from 1 species